GAAUUACAAAUAUUUUAGAGAAAUAGACUGGUGCGAAAUGGCGUCCCUUCUUCCAAAAGACGGUGUCCUUCUUGACCUUACUGGCCAAGCUCCUCCACCUUCAAAGAAUUUUCACGAAUUCAAGAUAACCACAACUGAAGUGAUAUGGAGAACAUGGGUGAUUACACUGAGGAAUGAUGCUAAGAGGCUUAGUCCAGGUGAAAAUAUCGAACCAUUGGAAGACUUCCAGCAUGAUGAAAGAAUGCAGUUUGAUGUUAGCAAAGUAUUUGGCGAAGGUGUUUUGAACUACACAAUGCUCCUUUCCAAGGGAUGUUUUGAUUAUAUCAUGAGGGUUCCCAAACCUUUGAUGCUCUACAUGUGCUCAUUCCUAGAGUUGGAAGAUAUUGCCAGACUGUCACAGACCUGCAAGAGUUUUUAUGAGCUCUGUAGUGCAGAGGCAUUAUGGGAGCAGAUCUAUGAGACGCAUUGUGGUACAGCUGUCACAGAUGAAAUGAGGUCUUUGGCUGAGGAAAUGGGAUGGAAGAAGAUGUUCUUCACUAAUAAACUUCAACUCCAGGUCAAACUAAGAAGACAUCAACAAAGGAUCCAAUCUCCAGAUAGUGGCACCAGAGCAUUCCUGACAGAAGAUGAUUAAAGUCGGAUGGAUAAUGUAAAACAAUGAUGAAAUAAAGUGUCCUUUCACGGUUAGAGUACAGUCAUGAGACCAUGAAAUCAUCUGCUAACAGCCAGAAAGGUGUAGCUGAAAAUUGCUUUGUAAAGAAUAAUCAAUCUACACCUUUCUGACUGUCAGCAGAUCAAAGUGUUAACUGUUUUUUGGGGGUUAGGGUUUGGAAGUGUCAUUACUAUUUUACUGCGUGUGAAUGAUGUUUUUGCUGCACAGAAUAUCAGAUAUGAGAAGAAAGAUUGUUUGGACUCAUUAUUGCCAAUGCUGCCCUCUAUAGUUGGAUAAUGAAAAAGUGGGAUAACACACAUUGAGGACACUUGCUGUGGCUGUGCUUGAAGUGCUCAUAAUUGCUCCAAGAUGCAAUAAAGCAUUCAGAAGUGGACUUGACCUUUGAUGAAGAGUUUGUCAGUGAUUUUCACCGACUAAUUUGUUCUCAGCCAAUCAGAAUCAAGGAUUUUGGUUGCUUAUAAUGAAUAGUCGGUGAAAAUUCUGACUUCUUGUUUCAUGAAAUGUUCCCCUGAUGUUUUACAGCUGAAUGAAGGUUGGAUGUAAAAUUGGUUAAUGGGAUUUGAUUAUAUAGAAUGUCUUGAAAUAGACUAGACUUUUUCUGCUUGUGAUCUGUUAAAGAGGAAAUGGUUUCAGUGUAAGGUCAUGAACAGGAAUAUUUACCAGGGCCCCGUCUGACAAAGAGUUGAGAUCGAUCUAAUCAAUUGCAACUAUGGAAAGCCAGCAAAAACAACAUCUAAAAUGCAUGUUUGUUUAAAAGAAUAGAUAUAUAUUCAUAAAUUCAUUGAUUUCUUGACAAUUUGGUGUGUUCUACUUUGUUUACAAAGGACAUUUUGCAAAUUUCUUGUAAAAAGAAUUAUGACAUUGAUGUAUUUACAUAGAGUUACGAUUGAUUGGAUCAAUUGUAACUCUUUGUAAGACAGGGCCCUGAUGUUGAAUAUAGUUGAGUGGUAUUAGGAUGAAGUUUUUCAAUUGAUUUUUCAAAAUGGUUUUCAUGGGCAUAGGCAACAGUUCACAAAUGUUGCCAAAGAUGAAAAAUCGCAGUAUGGAAUAGUUUGGCAGGGAUUUAGAAGUAUGAAUUUCUUGUUAACAUUUCAAGUAAUGAUGCACCAGAACCGCCAUGUUUGGAGAAGCUUUGGAUCCUACAUUGUAAUACACGCUAAUGCUGAAUUUGUCAUUUGCAUCCAUUGCCAUUUGUUCUUGAUGAAAAAAAACGGUCUUAUCAGAUUUGUGGCCUUUUAUGUAUAUAGAGAUUUUAUGCUGUAAAACCAGGCAGAAUAAACAAACUAAGAAAAAUAUGUAAUUUGAUGAUAGACAAUUUAAUAGAUUUAACUUUAUGCUGAAAUAAUCCAUCCACUAGUGUAACUUGUCAGAUUUAAUCAAUUUUCUAUAGAAAAAGUUGAAUAGUGUUUGUGGCAAGCAUUCCUUAUUUCUAUAUUGAAUUACAUUCCUUUAUUAUAAAAUCAAAGUCAAUUGUGUUCAAUAUAUUCAAGGAUUUAGUCAAAUUUAGCAAGGUAGUAAAUUUCAUCUAUCGAAGCUGUAUGCCUUGAAGAGACUAGACUGGUUAUGCUGAAUUGCUGGUGUUUCCAUGUAUUCAUGGAUAUUCAACAGUUCGAAAAUAAACAGAUGUAUAAUAAAUGUGAUCAAAUAUAAUUUUCCACAUAUCAAUAAAUAUGCAUCCAUAUAGAUAAUGUACUGUAUAUAUCUUGUAAAUUUAUGAGAUUUAUUCUUGUUAAAACAAUGCAGUGUUUUAUUGUAAAUUUGCUUGUUACAGUUCAUUCCUUUGUUUAUGAAACAAUUUGAAUAAAUAUUUUAUUGUCUUGAAAUAUCUGACCAUUGAGAUUUGUUUUCUUUGAAAAGCAGAUUAUGCAAAAGUUGAUAUUGAUAUGCCAUCUUUCUCUUAUUCACAAAUGCUGAAAUUUAAUGCUUAAGUCCCUAGUAUUUUGUUUUCUAAAAUGCAAGUUUCAUUUUCUUUGGCGUUAUAGUAUUAAAAAAUAAAUAUGAUAAAGCUUACUCACUGCAGUUUACAAUGCAAGCAACACUGUGAAUAGGUUUGAUGGGCAGAUUUUCCAUGUAUGCACUUUUGGGCCUGAAAUUUGUGUUUUUCAAUUAAUUCUAUGUUUUCAAAUUGCUUUAUUGACUUUUUCAUAUUCUGAAAACUGGAAAUUUUCAUCAACAUUUGUCCCUGACCCAAAAUCCACAAUCACAUUACAAUUACAUUUCGAAACGAUUCUGUAUUUUUCAUAUAUAUCUUGUAAUGUCACUUAAAAAGCUGCACACAAAAUUUUUUUAAACAUCUUGUUGAAUCCACCCUUCUCAUGCAUAAGCUACUCAUAAAAUGAAAGAAUUUUACAGAACCGAUCAAACAUGUUUUACUUAAAUUUUUUCUUGCAAUGUUAAAAAUGGCUUGGUUCUGAUGACUGCAGUGAAUUUUCAAGCAUGUAUACCAACAUAGCUCAUAC